CCUACGGGUGGCUGCAGUGAGGAAUAUUGCGCAAUGGGGGAAACCCUGACGCAGCGACGCCGCGUGAGUGAGGAAGGCCUUCGGGUCGUAAAGCUCUGUCAGAUGGGAAGAAGUGUUAUAUGGUUAAUACCCGUAUAAUUUGACGGUACCAUCAAAGGAAGCACCGGCUAACUCCGUGCCAGCAGCCGCGGUAAUACGGAGGGUGCGAGCGUUGUUCGGAAUCACUGGGCGUAAAGGGCGCGCAGGCGGUUUUAUAAGUCAGAUGUGAAAGCCCACGGCUCAACCGUGGAAGUGCAUUUGAAACUGUAAGACUUGAGUAUCAGAGGGGAAAGUGGAAUUCCCGGUGUAGAGGUGAAAUUCGUAGAUAUCGGGAGGAAUACCGGUGGCGAAGGCGACUUUCUGGCUGAAUACUGACGCUGAGGCGCGAAAGCGUGGGGAGCAAACAGGAUUAGAUACCCGAGUAGUC
rnacentral:rRNA from 1 species